rnacentral:rRNA from 1 species
UACAGAGGUCCCGAGCGUUGUUCGGAUUCACUGGGCGUAAAGGGUGCGUAGGUGGUGAGGUAAGUCGGAUGUGAAAUCUCCAAGCUCAACUUGGAAAUGGCAUUGGAAACUACCUUGCUGGAGGUUUGGAGGGGGGACUGGAAUUCUCGGUGUAGCAGUGAAAUGCGUAGAUAUCUGGAGGAACACCGGUGGCGAAGGCGACAUCCUGGACCGGUAUUGACGCUGAGGCGCGAAAGCCAGGGGAGCAAACGGG